CCCAGAUCUGUUCCUUUCUUCUUAAUUAUCCGUGUGCCUAAUUCUCUCGCACAGGAGCUGAAGAAUUCACAUUUGGGCUGAUGGGCCUGGGGUAGGGAUGACCAACAGACCACAUGCUUCUUGUCUCUUCUACUCCCUGAUCCUCUGAUAGACAGGGCUAAGUGAUCAUCCACUCCUUCCACCCUCCAGCCUCCGAGUGGGCCACUUUUCAAGCAUGGAAUUCCAGGUUCUGCACCCUCGGAUUCAACCAACCAAGGAUUGAAACUAUUUGAAGGAAAAGAAC
rnacentral:lncRNA from 1 species